AAGGAUGUGGAAUUGCAUAGACAACCAGGAUGUUGGCUUAGAAGCAGCCACUCAUUAAAAGAGUGCGUAAUAGCUCACUGGUCGAGUGAUUCUGCGCCGAAAAUUUAACGGGGCUAAACUAUACACCGAAGCUUAGGAUACCGCAAGGUAUGGUAGGAGAGCGUUCUGUACGGAGUGAAGUCGUAGCGAAAGCGGCGGUGGACUGUACAGAAGUGAGAAUGCCGGAAUAAGUAGCGAGAAUUAAGUGAGAAUCUUAAUGGCCGAAAGUCUAAGGUUUUUGGAGGAAGGUUCGUCCGCUCCAAGUAAGUCGGGAGCUAAGGUCAGGCCGAAAGGCGUAGCCGAUGCACAAACGGUUGAUAUUCCGUUACCGUCUACAAUUUAAACAAAGGGACACAUACAAAGCGUUUAACCCGGGCGAUGGUUGACCCGGGCGCAAGGGACUGAAAUAAGAGUAGGGAAGUAAAUGUGGCGUAUGGCGAGAAAAGCUUUGUGAAUAGAAGUAGACGCCCGUACCGCAAACCGACACAGGUGGACAGGAAGAGAAUUCUAAGGCCAGCGGGAGAAGGGUAGUUAAGGAACUCGGCAAAUUGACUCCGUAACUUCGGAAUAAGGAGUGCUCGAAAGAGCCGCAGAGAAUAGGCCCAGGCGACUGUUUAGCAAAAACACAGGUCUCUGCCAAAUCGAAAGAUGAAGUAUAGGGGCUGACACCUGCCCGGUGCCGGAAGGUUAAGAGGAGGAGUGCAAGCUCCGAAUUGAAGCCCCGGUAAACGGCGGCCGUAACUAUAACGGUCCUAAGGUAGCGAAAUUCCUUGUCGGGUAAGUUCCGACCCGCACGAAUGGUGUAACGAUCUGGGCACUGUCUCAACUACCCACCCGGCGAAAUUGUAGUACCGGUGAAGAUGCCGGUUACCUGCGGCAAGACGGAAAGACCCCAUGGAGCUUUACUGUAGCCUGAUAUUGGGUUUCGGAAAUCUAUGUACAGGAUAGGCGGGAGACUGGGAAGUAUGAGCGUCAGCUUAUACGGAGUCAUUGUUGGGAUACCGCCCUUAGGUUUCUGGAAUUCUAACCUGCGACCGUGAAUCCGGUCGGGGGACAUUGUCAGGUGGGCAGUUUGACUGGGGCGGUCGCCUCCGAAAAGGUAACGGAGGCGCUCAAAGGUUGGCUCAGCACGGACGGAAACCGUGCCUCAGAGUGUAAACGCAAAAGCCAGCCUAACUGCGAGGAUGACGGUCCGAGCAGUAACGAAAGUUGGAGUUAGUGAUCCGGCGGUAUGUGAAUGGAAAUGCCGUCGCUCAACGGAUAAAAGCUACCCUGGGGAUAACAGGCUGAUCUCCCCCAAGAGUCCACAUCGACGGGGAGGUUUGGCACCUCGAUGUCGGCUCAUCACAUCCUGGGGCUGUAUUCGGUCCCAAGGGUUCGGCUGUUCGCCGAUUAAAGUGGUACGCGAGCUGGGUUCAGAACGUCGCGAGACAGUUCGGUCCCUAUCUGUCGUGGGCGCAGGAUAUUUGAGGAGCUCUGUCCUUAGUACGAGAGGACCGGGAUGGACGUACCUCUGGUGCACCAGUUGUCAUGCCAAUGGCACGGCUGGGCAGCUACGUACGGAACGGAUAAACGCUGAAAGCAUCUAAGCGUGAAGCCGACUCCAAGAUUAGAUAUCCCAUUGCAUAAGCAAGUAAGACCCCUUGAGGACUACGAGGUUGAUAGGCUGCGUGUGUAAGUGUCGUGAGGCAUUUAGCUUGGCAGUACUAAUAGGUCGAGGGCUUGACCAC
rnacentral:rRNA from 1 species